GCAGGCUGCAACUCGCCUGCAUGAAGUUGGAAUUGCUAGUAAUCGCGAAUCAGAAUGUCGCGGUGAAUACGUUCCCGGGCCUUGUACACACCGCCCGUCACACCAUGAGAGUCGAUAACACCCGAAGCCUGUGAGCUAACCUUUUAGGAGGCAGCAGUCGAAGGUGGGGUUGAUGAUUGGGGUGAAGUCGUAACAAGGUACC
rnacentral:rRNA from 1 species